AAUUGGACAGUUUAGGCUGUUCCCGUCGACGACUUUUAUCAAAGUGGAAGCAGCAACCACAGAAGAGCAGGCAGAUAAUUGUUGGACUGCUUGUAGAAAGCGAUUCUUUGCUGCUUUGAAACCCAAUUAGGUCAGGAGUCGAGUCAAACUUUAAAGUUAAAAGUCUCCGCCGUGUCACAUCGACGUCAUGGACCCUGCCAGUCAAGAUAUCAACCUGAACUCUCCCAACAAGGGCCUUGGUGUAGAUCAUUCAGACACACUGUCGGAUGUGCCAGUGGAGGGAACAAUGCAAAACUCUGCCAACCCUCUCCCACCCGGUCUGACAGAGGAGGAAGCUGAGGAGCUCCGCACCGAGCUCUCCAAGGUGGAGGAGGAGAUCAACACUCUGCGUCAGGUUCUGUCAGCCAAAGAGAGACACGCCAUAGAGCUGAAGAGGAAACUCGGUCUCAGCACACUUGAAGAACUCAAGCAGAAUCUUUCCCGGAGCUGGCAAGACGUACAAACCUCCAAUGCCUAUGUGAGAACCACAGAGAAACUGGGCGAGUGGAAUGAGAAAGUUACCGGUUCAGAUUUAUAUCUGUCUGCUUCAGCCACUUUGGAUGACAUUACCCACUCUGAAGCAUACAAGAAGACUCAGGAGACUCUUACCCAAGCGGGACAGAAAACUAGUGCAGCUCUCACCACAAUGGGCUCGGCCAUCAGCAGGAGGCGGGGGGACAUGAGGUACAGUGAGGUCGAGCCAAAAUGGCUGACGCACUUGCUCAGCUGCCAGAACAAACCAAAGUGAAAAGUGUGGAAAAAAGAAUGGGAAUAAUAAUAAUAAUGUAGUAUGUAACUUAUUCUGCAAAAGACACAUCUGAUGUGUUUUACCACCAAAGUUUGCAUCGUUAUUAAUUUUCUACAAUCAAUGGAUUGUUAUGGUAAACAUCAGAGCUUCCCUUCAGAACUCAAACAACCUGAGUACUGUUGUGCGACAGUCAAUAUUUGUUGAGGUCUGACACUUUUUUAUCAGGCUGUUCAGUCAUCAGAUGCAUUCCCAUCUAUUGCAACACGUUCCACUCCUUGUUUACAGCUGCUGCUGCUAAUGUCUUUGUCUGUCUUUGUCUUUUUUGUAAACUAGUCUUUUAAGUACUGAUGUGAAAAGAACUGUGGAUUAGAUGCUAACAACCUGUGAUGUGUCACUCCUUUGGAAACCUAUUCUAUUUAUUGCCGGGGUGUGUCUGUAAUAUGAAAUUAGAGGAAACGUGAUAGGGGAGGUUUAUUUGGGAAUUUAGACCAACCUGUCCUACAUUUGGUAUGUUUAGUGUUGUCCCAGUGGGACAUCCCAAACUCUGUGAGGAAAAAAGUCUAUAAUGAUUAUUAGUCUUAGUUAUAGAUCAGUUAGGUUAGUUGUAGAAAUAACCAGUAGCAUCAGAGACAGAGGAGAAUUGUAGUUUUGAUUUGUCUCAUAUCACUGUCUCAGCAUCCUUUUUUUUACAUGGACACAGUGUCUUUACCUAAAGUCACACCAGAGUGACUAGAGAAAUUCACUCCUACUGAGGAACAGUAAAUAUACACAGCUAUGAUUCUCAUGUAAACAGUUGGUGCCAUGUUUACUGUCACACCACUCAGUAAAUAUUUUAAUUUUCCAUCCAAGCACUAAUAUUGAUAGUCGUUCUUCACGCAAGGGUGUGUUGUAUGUGAUGGAAAAGUGGAUGUCUCUGUCUUUAGCACAUCAACUCUUAUGUUCCCCCUCCUCCACCAUGUACUUGCAAGCAAAUUGGACCUGUUUUCCCCUGUCCUUUCCUGCAUGUUCUUGUUGUGUUCGUCCAAAGUAGCGUCGAAAGAUUGCUGCAUGUUGUCACGCUAUUGUUGGUGCAAGGCAUGAAAUGAAAAUCAGUGGAUGUGCCCACGCUUUCUGUAGAAGUAACGCAGCUGUAGAUUUAACACAUUUAUUUUACUAAUACAUGACAAUAUACACAAACAUACAGUAUAUACGUUUGGUAAGUUUUAAAAACCGGGUCAUUCACUGCUGCUUUACUUCACGUGGGUUACUGUCCAAAUCACCUGUUUUGUUUUAAUUAUUGGUUUUUUUUUUUGUCUUCUACAACUGCUGCUGUUGCUCAUGCUCUCCCUGUCUUUGUUUUUUAAUUGCUGCCUUGGUUUUACCUGCAGAGCGCUACCUUUCUCUAAUUCCUUUAGGUGAGAUUAUCAUGUCCUGUUUCCAAGAACAAGUGUUUGAGCCCAACAGCAUGUGACCUAGAAUUUAAACAAAUACCCUGAAAUUCUCCAGUGUACAGUUAACUGUAGAUGUUUGAUUUUCAGCUUUUGGUGUGUGUGUAUGAGAGUGUGCGAGAAAGUCUGAGAACAUUUCCGUGCUUGCUUUAUAACACUGCACUUCUCUGUCUCCUCUCUAAUGCUUACAAAGUAGCAACUAUUCCAUUCGCCACUCGAUAAGUAUGCCCGCCAUGAGGAACUCUGCGACCUUCAAGUCAUUUGAAGAUAAGGUGGGAAACCUGAAGUAUAAAGUCGUUGGCACCAAGGGAAACGGAGAUGUCGUGAGCUCUCCCACUGACUCCACCCCAACGCAGGAGAACCCACCCUUCUGAACACCACCGGCCUCCUCCUCUUCCUUUUCCUUCUUCUUCUCUUCUUCUUCCUCAUCUUCUUUCUCCUUGCUGCCACCUUCCUUCACGACCUGAGACUGUACUCUUAUCACCUCACAUCGCAGUCAGCCCUGACCUUUGACUCUUCACCUAACCGGCCUCACCUCAGUCACUUUCUCUCCUCGAGUUCUGCAGACAAACAGAAGGGACUUGUGGGUUUGAGGUGGAGGCAACUUGUUGCCAGUUUCACUGACUGUGAUCCUGUGGCCUCUGUUCUUCUGUCUCACUGUUUCUGUAAAAUCCUACUGAUGUCUAAAUAUGAAUCACAGCCUUCAAGCUUUACUUUUUUUUUUCUUCUGUAAGAUUAUCAUUUAUUUUCUUGGUUUUCUCAAUUCGAAAUCUGAAAGUGAUCUGUUACCUUCUUUUAAGCAUGUCACAGUUUCAUCACGUCACCCGGAUCAAAGCUAAAGCACAGACGAGAAAGACAAAUGUGAAGUUCCUGAACUUUCAUUUGUUCUUAAUGUAGUUUGGAAUUGAAUUUGUAGUUCGUACUUAAAAUUGGGAGGAUGGCCUUUGACUUUUAAAUGGCCACAAAUAAAGUUCACUGUAGGUCUUGGAGAGUUUAAACCACGAGAAAACUGAUUGAAUAAUCGACACAUUUAAGUGAAAAUCUGACCCCAAAACAGUCAAAACCACAUCCUGCAGGUUUUAUGUUUUGUCAUUUGACUAAAAAAAAUGUACGGACUGAUAAUAGAUAAAGAUUGAACAGUUACAAGUAAUAUUAUUGACGGGUAAAUUUACUCUUUCUGUCUGUUACCGAGUUUGUCAUCAAAGGUGCAUUUACACUGUGAUCGCCUGCUGGUGUCACUAAAGCUUUACCGCCAUUUGCUAGACAUCAAACCGUCUUUGCUUGACCUCUUUUUGGUUGCCAGCAGUGUGACGCAGGCUACACUCGCAGUUUGGUGGUAGGAGGUGGACCUCCACAAUAACCCAGACAUCGUCUUAGACCAACUACUGCUCCGUGCAUGUGCAUAUCUCACUUGUACCAGACAAACCAGGCAAAGACGACCGAGGUCAUGUGUAAACACCUUACAGACACCCCAGGAUGUAAAAACUGAAACUAAAACCAUUUUGUAUUAUAAACUAUUUUACACUGCUUUGCAUAAUGUUUUUACAUAACUUUUAUCGAUAUGUAUAAAUAUAUAUAUAAAUAAAGCAAUGCUGCUGGAGGACAGGUUCAGAGGCUUGAGAGGAGCAGACAGGGGCAAAACAAACAGCAGAAAAUAAUCAGUUUGACACGCAUGACUUAUCAUCUGUCUGGGUUUUUUCCUGUUUUAAAUACACUCGAGGUCUAAAUAUAAAUUGUUUCCAUGUUUGUAAAAACUGAAUGAGCUGUUGUUUUGCACUGGUCUGGACACAGGACUGAGAAGAAACUGAACAAACUGGAAGUGUGUUUGAACUCAGGCACAGCAGGUCAGCAUCAAACUAAAACCCAAACCCGGUCGAAUGUGUUGUAAAACCACACCGGCUGUUUUCUUUUCUUUUCUACCCAGGCUGACGGCUGCUCUUAUGUUUCUGUUCAAACACAUCUCGACGCGAUGGUGUCGACGAUGCUCUGCUGUGUACAGUACUUGGUGAAUGUUGACGCUUUUCUGUCGGCCUUACUCGCGUUCAUUGGUUUUCCUCGUAGUUUAGGUGGUAGAAAAUAGGUUUCCGUUUUGUACGUGCUGUUUGUUUAGUUGGUUCAAAUGAAGGAAGAAGAGUUGGCAUUGAGAUAGUUGAGUCCACCAGUCCACAUUUCUUGGCGUCAUAUUUUUGCUGCCACAGUAGAAGCUUUGCUCGCAUCUCCUGACCACGCGAUUGCACUCCAGUUAACACUGUGUGAUGAACCUGCACGAGGCCAAAACUAGUCACAAAACGCCACAGUUGCACUUAUUGUUGAACCUCAACGUACAAUACACACCACCCUUGUCAGUACAAUGGCCAUCACACACUUUACACACAUUCAGGGACAGUGGCAGUAAACCGGAGCACACACAGUGGUGAAGAGUUGUCUCUUUUCUCACAAUUUUGGAAAAGGAAAGAAAAUAAAUUUUAAGGUUUUUUUUUUCUUUUGCUCUCUCACAACAACAUUGGUGAUACAAUAGCAACAUUGUGUUAUCCCAAACAAAUGCAAUAGUUGUUUGUGUUUUGGUGUCAUCUCUAAUGGUAGCAAUGAAAUAAAUGUAAAAAAUAAAACAAGGCAAAUUAACUAAAGAUCUUGGAUGACAUUUCUGAGAUGAAUUAUAAUAUUUCAAAUACCAUCAGUCAAAUAACUUAAAACCAAGUGCUUUUUUUUCUUUACUGCAUUGGACCUUUUCAGCUAAACUUUUUUUUUCAUUCAAGCUUAAUCUUCACAAAAUUCUAGAAAAAACCUCCACAUGAUGUUGCCAGUGUAUCACUAUUGCAUUUGCUUGUUUUUUUCCUGUAUGUGACUGCUGAACAUUUCAGUAGUUUUUUUUUUUUUCCGCAAGGGGUUUGAUGUUGGAGACAUUUCUUCUUUGUAAAUGUUUUCAAAGCUGGUUGCCAAUAUUUAAAUAUAUGUUACAAGGUGUCUUUGCCAUUACUUCCCAGAAACUCUUGACUGCUUUGCCAAAAUAACAACGCAGACAUGCUAACACAGGGUUUGUCUCCAGUCAUAUGUUGUAACUUUUGUUCAUAAUAUUAUAAGAUUAUGUUUUUCUUGGGAAAUUGAGUUUGGCCAGCACAUACUUGUGAAAGACUCCAAAAUGCCAAAAUAGGUAGAUGCGGUAUUCUGUUUUAAGUUGUUGUUGGACUAGGGUAGGAAGGGUAAACUAUCUUGUUGGUGUACAGCACAUGAGAACCAGUCACUGCUGAGGCUGUUGGACACUAGUUCAUACUCAUAGCUUUAUUAGGUCAAGGGCUGAGCUGAUGUAGUAAUGUAAAAGGGAUCAGAUGUGAGAGAUUAUGAUGAUGAAUGAAUAAAAACAACAGAUUUAUUGGUUUUGUUCUGUAUGUUAGUAUAUCAAUAAAGCAUUCCUUUGAAUGACAAA